CUGGGACUGAGACACGGCCCAGACUCGUACGGGAGGCAGCAGUGGGGAAUUUUGGACAAUGGGGGCAACCCUGAUCCAGCCAUUCCGCGUGAGUGAAGAAGGCCUUCGGGUUGUAAAGCUCUUUCGGCAGGAACGAAACGGUGCAGGUUAAUACCCUGUAUCAAUGACGGUACCUGAAGAAGAAGCACCGGCUAACUACGUGCCAGCAGCCGCGGUAAUACGUAGGGUGCGAGCGUUAAUCGGAAUUACUGGGCGUAAAGCGUGCGCAGGCGGCUUUGUAAGACAGGUGUGAAAUCCCCGGGCUUAACCUGGGAACUGCGCUUGUGACUGCAAGGCUUGAGUGCGGCAGAGGGGGGUGGAAUUCCACGUGUAGCAGUGAAAUGCGUAGAGAUGUGGAGGAACACCGAUGGCGAAGGCAGCCCCCUGGGUCGACACUGACGCUCAUGCACGAAAGCGUGGGUAGCAAACAGGAUUAGAUACCCUGGUAGUCCACGCCCUAAACGAUGCCAACUAGGUGUUGGGGAAGGAGACUUCCUUAGUACCGUAGCUAACGCGUGAAGUUGGC
rnacentral:rRNA from 1 species